GCCAUCACCACUCCUGCCAUAGAUGAUCUCCACGUCUUCCUCGUCUGGUCUCGUCUCUCUGUGUAUGAGGACUUACCUGUCUUCAAUCAGUCUUCCCUAAAACCUCCACUACACACCUGUCAGCACCUGUAACAAACAACUGUUUAUGCUCAAGUGUCAGAGAUCAGAAUGACGAGGAGGAAGGAGGCGACGGUCACACUGAGAGAGAGAGAGAGAGAGAGAGAGAGAAACAGGAAAACAUGACAGGGAUCCGACUGGAAAAGGAUGAGCUCUCAUGCAUGAAGACAACUGCCCCGCGCUGAUAGAAGACAUGCUACAGAGUGUCAGACGUGCCAGGAUAGGAGGCUGGAAACAGCUUCACUAGAGAGAGCAGCUGCACGGCGCUCAGAAACAAAGUGGACAGCGUCCAAAACCACUUUACCAACUGGCCAGCUGGGACGAAAACCACAUCGAGCCGGCCAAGCUGUGUGACAUUAGUCCAGGAACAUUGGUCAUGAGUAACAGUAGGAUCAUGCACUGCACUCAGCUCAUGGACGCACAUAUGGCUAUGUCAUGUUCAGCCCUAAUGAAGAUAAAUG
ensembl:lncRNA